AAAGACAUUACUUGCAGAUUUCAAUGUCCCAGAGAAAGAUGGGUCUCCAAAUCUUUUUGUCAUCUGGCUUGGCAGAAUGAAUUGCAAGAGACCUUGGUUCCUGGCUCCUAAAAGGAUCUUCACUCUAUCUGGCCAGAUGGCAAGACUAUCACCACAACUCCAGAAUUUGGGUAGAGUUUGCCAGAGAAUGAAGGUGCAUAGAUGUCUCCAGGCCCAAUUCCCUUGCUGACAGUCACAUCCCCUCCAAAUCUAUGGAAAUCCAAUCAUGCAGAAUACAUGUGGAGAGGCUUUCACGGGGCCAACGGAGUGGGGAAGGGAUGGGAAGAGAAGCAUUAUAUCAUUAAGUUUCAGUUCUCCUCUCUCAAACAUAUUUUUGUGUACUUGAGCAGGUUUUGCCCUUCAAUUCUCUGACCCUGUGUUUUGGGCAAUAUUAAAUGAGUUGAGGAGGGAUAAAUCAUUUUUUUAAAAUAUAGUAUUUCAACUUACAUUAGCUAACUCCACAAGCCAUACAUUACACUGGGAAUUAUCCACGUUCACCCAUGCAUCUGGUCAUUUUAGAUACCAUGCUGAUUCACGUGGACUACAUUUAUUGCAAUUAAAUGGUGAGACACAGUUAUUAUAUUUGAAUGAAUAAUCAGGGAAAAGAUAGUAAAAGAGAAAAGAAAAAUCUGCAAGUAGUACUUGGGAGACUCUAUAAUCAUUUUCAGUGUUGUAACAAUCCAUCAGACAGUGCACAAUUAAAGCAGGCAUCUAUGAUUCUCAGUGGAGCUUUUUUCAUUUUGCCCUACAUUCUAUUUCACGUAUGAAGCAACCCAUAAUUAAAUAGUGCUUUGUGUUAAAAUGUUUCCUAAUUAUCAGUGGGUAAAAUCCAUUAAAAGAAAUCAGUUCUAGCUGGAAUGUUACAUCAUUGCGAAAGGAAAAGAAACCUGGUCAGACUGCAUUUUGUUAUUUACACACAAAAGAAAGGCCUCUUUAGUAUUCAGAAUAAUUUGAUAGUUAACCGGGAAACAAUUAUUUUGGAUACUGUGGUUAAAAAAUAUGCAGUCACACUACAUUUUAGUGACUUUUUUCUUGGUUAGAUCCAUAGUAAUGGUAUUUAAAUCUAGCGAUGUCUAGUACAGUACCACUUUAAUUUCUGCUUGUGGAUACAAUUGAUACUGCACAUAUAAUAUUUAUUACUGUAUUUAGGAAAACAGCCUAAAUUCACUUACCGCUUGAUUUAAAAAUUCUGUUUCUUACUGACACAGAAAAAUUGCAUUUUGUGUUUGUGAAUUCUUAUUCCCAAAUAUUGGUAUUUUAUAGAAGCUGAAGAAACAGAUCUCCAACAACAUAGCUAAUGCUCAAAUUUGAGGACAUACAUGAUUAGAUUCUUACAGCUAUCUUGUUUUUCCUCAUCUUUGUAAAGAUUCAAAGGCUUAGCAAUAACAUGGUAUAGAUACUAUUUUGCUCCCAAACUAGCUGGAAAAUUUGAAAACUGGAUUAAAAUCACAGCUGACAAUUUGACUGAAAACUCUUCUGAGAGAGUUACAAUUUGAUCAUUCACUUCCAAAGUCAAAUUUUUCUGCCCUGGCACUUCAAAAUGCUUGGGGCUAUGCUGGUAGUUUGGUCGUAUUGCAAGGGUCUGAGUGCCAGACUUUGGCUUACUCCCGCGCUUCCUGGUUUGGCAGGGGCUGAAAUACUAUCGAGGCAACAAGCUCAGAUGCUGGGAGUAAGGAGAGCUUUGCAAUGACUGCUUCCAGUAUGAGAGACAGAAAUGUUAAGGAUGGAUUUUGAAGACAGCUCCAGCCAGCCUUUCUUGGCAGGACAGCACUGAGCUUUGAGGACUGGGAGCAUAAAGGAAAAACGGGAGGAGAUCAUCAGCGUUACAUGCUGCAAAAAAAGUUUGUUUCUAAACUCUCAUUUGAAAGCCUCUCUUUGUGCAGCACAGUGUCUCAAUAUGCAAUAGUUAUGUUAUUUACAAUGAGGUGCAGUGGCUGAGUGGUCAAGGUGCUUGAUUACAAUCCUGGAGAUUGUGGGUUCAAACUCACACUGAAAGACUACCUCAAGUUCACCCAGCUACAAAAUGGAUACCUGAUCCACAGACUUAGAGAGAUAAGGUGGGUGAGAUAAUAUCUUUUAUUGGACAACUUCUAACCAUAGGGUUAAGGAAGUCAAAGACGGUUGGAUGCAAGGCUAGUCAGAUAACUCCCUUGUGUACUGUUAGCUAUGGAAACAGAUACAGACAUGCAUUAAACCAUGUCAGCGUGAUGAGCCAUCUGUGGCUUGGGGCAGACCUUUUUAAUGUUCUCUACUACACUGAAACUCAUGUUUUCUGCACUCUGCAGGCAGCUGUCUUUUUAAUCUGUACAAGAAACUUGGAAACUUUCAUUGUAUUGCUGAGAUGAGCAGAACUGAAACACUCAGGUCCCUCCAACAGAAGACUGAAAGAUCUACAGAUUGGUAUUGUACUGGGAGUGGUGCUGCUGCCAACAGACUGACCAUACUGU